GGAACGGGUGAGUAAUGCGUGACCAACCUGCCCCAUGCUCCAGAAUAGCUCUUGGAAACGGGUGGUAAUGCUGGAUGCUCCAACUUGACGCAUGUCUUGUUGGGAAAGUGUUUAGUGGCAUGGGAUGGGGUCGCGUCCUAUCAGCUUGUAGGCGGGGUAAUGGCCCACCUAGGCUUCGACGGGUAGCCGGCCUGAGAGGGCGGACGGCCACAUUGGGACUGAGAUACGGCCCAGACUCCUACGGGAGGCAGCAGCC
rnacentral:rRNA from 1 species